UACAGAGGGAGCAAGCGUUGUUCGGAAUUACUGGGCGUAAAGGGUGCGCAGGCGGCCAAGUGUGUGAGGCGUGAAAGCCCGGGGCUUAACCCCGGAAUUGCACCUCAAACUACAUGGCUAGAGCAUUGGAGAGGGUAGCAGAAUUCAUGGUGUAGCAGUGAAAUGCGUAGAGAUCGGGAGGAACAUCAGUUGCGAAGGCGGCUCUCUGGACCAGCACUGACACUGGGGCACGAAAGCGUGGGGAGCAAACAGG
rnacentral:rRNA from 1 species